rnacentral:rRNA from 1 species
CGGACGGGUGAGUAAUGUCUGGGGAAACUGCCCCGAUGGAGGGGGAUAACUACUGGAAACGGUAGCUAAUACCGCAUAACGUCGCAAGACCAAAGAGGGGGACCUUCGGGCCUCUUGCCAUCGGAUGUGCCCAGAUGGGAUUAGCUAGUAGGUGGGGUAACGGCUCACCUAGGCGACGAUCCCUAGCUGGUCUGAGAGGAUGACCAGCCACACUGGGACUGAGACACGGCCCAG